UGGUUCUGGCAUCGAUGAAGAACGCAGCGAAAUGCGAUAAGUAAUGCGAAUUGCAGAAUUCCAGUGAGUCAUCGAAUCUUUGAACGCACAUUGCGCCCUUUGGUAUUCCGAAGGGCAUGCCUGUUCGAGCGUCAUUGUCACCCCUCAAGCCCCGGGCUUGGUGUUGGACGGUUCGGUUUUGGCGACAAGACCCCUCCUAAAAUCAACGACGGCGGCCUGUCCGACCCCCGGUACACCGAGCUUCUUCACUGAGCACGUAUCGGUCUAGGGUUGGCGGGACGCGGUCUCCAGUCCCUAGGGGAACUUUCUCCAAGGUUGACCUCGGAUCAGGUAGGGAUACCCGCUGA
rnacentral:misc_RNA from 1 species